GAGUUCAUGGCAAGGCAAAGCAUGUGACCUAUUUCAAAAUGCUGACAUGCAACCCCACUUCAUACAACCUUUGCUUUAUGCUGGAAUCAAGGAAACGAGUUUUUCAAUCCAGCAAGUAUCUCAAAGUUGCUGCACUCUACACUCAAGCCAUCAAAUAGACCCUUCAAAUCCCACUCUUUUAAGGGCUCAAUCUCUCUAAGAAACGUGUUGAAGCUCUUUUGGAUAUGAGUUUACGAAGACUGACCGUUUCCCGUGGGUUUACACUAAAUAAAGCUGGUGCUUCUGGUACUUCGAGUGGACCGUUUCCCGUGGGUUUACACUAAAUAAAGCUGGUGCUUCUGGUGCUUAUGUUGAAUCCUCUUGAAUAUUUUACUUGGUCAUUGAUUAGAUUCAUACAAAAUAGUGGUCUUUCUAGUUAUACUUAAUCAGCCAGAAAAUAAGAAAAUGGAGUUGAAAUUCUUUGUUACUAUAUUGUAAUAUUUGAAUUUAAUUGAAAUUGAUAUAAUAGUUUAAUUUUAAUAUUAAGUUAAUUUGUCAUAUUUAAAUUGAAAUAAU